rnacentral:lncRNA from 1 species
GGAAACAAUUACUCUUUUCCUUGCGGGGAAAAGGAAGAUUUGCCUAAAAAGAAGAAAAACCAACCAAAGCUUCAAGAAAUUGCCUGUGGGGAUAAAGAGAUAAAGAAAGAAGAUAUACCGAUUGUGUCUUUGUGGAAGGAAAAGAUAAUACCUGUAUAAUUCUAAAGUACGCUUGAAAACAGUGAGGAGACAGAGGUAAACACAAUCUAGGUGUCUUCUAUAUACACGUACCAGAAGGAACAGCCAAAAAUGCUUUACCUUCAGAAAGUUAGUUAAUUAAAUAAGGCUCUAAAAGAAAAUUGAAAUAGAAAUACGCUUUUUUCACCAAGCUAAUAUAGCCAAUAGAGAAUUAGAAAAUAUUUCACAUAAGCUCUCCCAUGGAAAAAAAAAUUGAU